GAUGAACGCUGGCGGCGUGCCUAAUACAUGCAAGUCGAGCGAACGGACGAGAAGCUUGCUUUUCUGAUGUUAGCGGCGGACGGGUGAGUAACACGUGGAUAACCUACCUAUAAGACUGGGAUAACUUCGGGAAACCGGAGCUAAUACCGGAUAAUAUUUUGAACCGCAUGGUUCAAAAGUGAAAGACGGUCUUGCUGUCACUUAUAGAUGGAUCCGCGCUGCAUUAGCUAGUUGGUAAGGUAACGGCUUACCAAGGCAACGAUGCAUAGCCGACCUGAGAGGGUGAUCGGCCACACUGGAACUGAGACACGGUCCAGACUCCUACGGGAGGCAGCAGUAGGGAAUCUUCCGCAAUAGGCGAAAGCCUGACGGAGCAACGCCGCGUGAGUGAUGAAGGUCUUCGGAUCGUAAAACUCUGUUAUUAGGGAAGAACAUAUGUGUAAGUAACUGUGCACAUCUUGACGGUACCUAAUCAGAAAGCCACGGCUAACUACGUGC
rnacentral:rRNA from 1 species